UACGUAGGGUGCGAGCGUUGUCCGGAAUUAUUGGGCGUAAAGAGCUCGUAGGCGGUCUGUCGCGUCUGCUGUGAAAACUCAGGGCUUAACCCUGAGCUUGCAGUGGGUACGGGCAGACUAGAGUGCGGUAGGGGAGACUGGAAUUCCUGGUGUAGCGGUGAAAUGCGCAGAUAUCAGGAGGAACACCGGUGGCGAGGGCGGGUCUCUGGGCCGUAACUGACGCUGGAGGAGCGAAAGCAUGGGGAGCGAACAGG
rnacentral:rRNA from 1 species